rnacentral:rRNA from 1 species
GGGUGGCGCCGGCUUACCCUGCAGUCGACGGUGAUGGCCAGCUUGCUGGUCUGAUCAGUGGCGAACGGGUGAGUAACACGUGAGCAACCUACCCUAGACUCUGGAAUAACCAUGGGAAACGAUGGCUAAUACCGGAUACGAGGCAUACACGCAUGUGUGGUGUCUGGAAAGAUUUAUCGGUCUGGGAUGGGCUCGCGGCCUAUCAGCUUGUUGGUGGGGUAGUGGCCUACCAAGGCGACGACGGGUAGCCGGCCUGAGAGGGCGACCGGCCACACUGGGACUGAGAUACGGCCCAGACUCCUACGGGAGGCAGCAGUGGGGAAUAUUGCACAAUGGGCGCAAGCCUGAUGCAGCGACGCCGCGUGAGGGAUGACGGCCUUCGGGUUGUAAACCUCUUUCAGCAGGGAAGAAGCGCAAGUGACGGUACCUGCAGAAGAAGCGCCGGCUAACUACGUGCCAGCAGCCGCGGUAAUACGUAGGGCGCAAGCGUUGUCCGGAAUUAUUGGGCGUAAAGAGCUCGUAGGCGGUUUGUCGCGUCUGCUGUGAAAACCUAAGGCUCAACCUUGGGCUUGCAGUGGGUACGGGCAGACUAAAGUGCGGUAGGGGUGACUGGAAUUCCUGGUGUAGCGGUGGAAUGCGCAGAUAUCAGGAGGAACACCGAUGGCGAAGGCAGGUCACUGGGCCGCAACUGACGCUGAGGAGCGAAAGCAUGGGGAGCGAACAGGAUUAGAUACCCUGGUAGUCCAUGCCGUAAACGUUGGGCACUAGGUGUGGGGCUCAUUCCACGAGUUCCGUGCCGCAGCAAACGCAUUAAGUGCCCCGCCUGGGGAGUACGGCCGCAAGGCUAAAACUCAAAGAAAUUGACGGGGGCCCGCACAAGCGGCGGAGCAUGCGGAUUAAUUCGAUGCAACGCGAAGAACCUUACCAAGGCUUGACAUACACCGGAAAC